rnacentral:lncRNA from 1 species
AUGUACACAAUUUUCCUGCCUUGCCACUGCAGCCACAAGAACUUGACUUAYUGGGAAUUACACAGGCUGCAUUCUGCUUUUAUCUAAAUUAUACUGCAAGGGCACCUACCAAAGAGAGUGACGUUGAUGUAUCAUCUCCCUCAGGCAUUUAUGCCAAUACAUCUGUAUGGUGUAAUCACACCACCUCAGGUCAAAUAACACCUGGACCACAACCCAUAGGGUUGGCUGCUAAGAUAUUCUUAAUUUGUGGUCAGAGAGCCUGGAAAGGUGUACCAGGUAAAGCUGUGGGGGGACCAUGUAUCUUUGGACUUUUGACAAUAUUCCAUCCCGAAAAAUGGUUAAUUGAUGGAACGGUCCAUCUUCGAGCAAAGCGAUCCACCCACRGCUUUAYGUCAGGUUGCRAUAGUARCGUAGAAUUUUGGAAUCCAGCAGAACGUAUCUUGAGUAGUAUUUUUGCAGGAAUAGGGACUGCUCAUGCUUUAUCACAGCUUAACAGAUUAGGAUGCUGGCUUGCAAAAGAAAAAAAAAAAAAAAAAAGAAGAGUUUAUGCAUGUUCAGUGGAGCAUUAACAGUUGCCAUACUCUGCCUUGUGGAGAGAAUUGCCAGUGCAAUUUGACUGGGGAAUAAUGAAGCAAGAAGUAAGGACCUGCAAUUAAUUUUUUUGCUCCCUUGCACGUCACUUUGUUUCAAACAGUUGAGUCACUGACUGAUUUACCAAAUAGAGUAUGUUAUUGAUUCACUCUUCAGUCACAUCCCCGUUUUUACCUGGAUGUGUUGCAACCAGAAUUGUGAAAUUAUCUCACACACUGAGGUCUACUUGACCCCUGUCAGCCUAGCAGUCUAUGAAAUUUUAGUCAUUGAUCUGAACAUGGUGGAUAUCUUGAUGUACAAUGUUCAGAGAACUAUUUAACUAUAAUUUUCCUGACUCAUAUACCUUUUUUUUUUUUCUCUUUAUAGUCUUUUAGAGCUUUGGAAAGUUAUGUCAUUGCUGAAGGAGGUGUAACCAAGUAUAGUCUGAAUAGAUCAUUAAUAAACAGCAGUGUAAAGGACA